GGAAUAUAGCUCAGUGGUAGAACAUUUGCUUGGCAUACAAAGGGCCCUAGAUUCAACCCCCAGUACCCA
rnacentral:tRNA from 1 species